UCCAAUGGUGGGCCGGGCGAGGGCGUCGCAAGACGCGCCGGUUCCAGUAUGCCGGUAAUGCCAAUCUCGCCCGGCACCAUCACCAUG
rnacentral:antisense_RNA from 2 species